UACGUAGGUGGCAAGCGUUGUUCGGAAUUACUGGGCGUAAAGGGCUCGUAGGUGGCCAACUAAGUCAGACGUGAAAUCCCUCAGCUUAACUGGGGAACUGCGUCUGAUACUGGAUGGCUUGAGUUUGGGAGAGGGAUGCGGAAUUCCAGGUGUAGCGGUGAAAUGCGUAGAUAUCUGGAGGAACACCGGUGGCGAAGGCGGCAUCCUGGACCAACACUGACACUGAGGAGCGAAAGCCAGGGGAGCAAACGGG
rnacentral:rRNA from 1 species